UUAGUUUCUGAUAAGUUACGGAAAGUAACUAGUAGAUAACUUUUCACAUAAAUAACUUAUGCAAACACAUGGUUGUUUCCCAUUGAUCUCUUACUGAAACAACUAUAAGAAACACCACAAAUGAAAAGUGAUGAGGUAACGUUUGAAGACAUAUCACCUCUGGAGCCCCUCAAAUCCACUACACUAAAUUGGAGCACACCAUGCUGAGAAAAAAUAAUGAAGGGAUUGGCUGCAAUUACACUAUGUGAUGUUCUCAUUCUAGCUGAAGACACUCAUGCUGAAUCGCAGAUGCAGCAAAGAGAGUAGGCGUCGUAUGGUCGCUCUGUAGCCAAUUCAUCGCCUCUCUUGAUGGCAUGGAUCCCUGCAGCCAAACCAAGGUGCAAUAAUUUCUCAAAUAGAGGUAACUGGUGACAGCUAAAACUUUAGAAAAUAAUUAAAUAUCACAAACAAAUAUAAUUUGAACGUUGUGAUUUAUACCAACAACUGCAGGCUGAUGCAUACGUAAGCGAAAUACCUACGGUUGGCAGCACAUGAGAAAUAGUACCUAGGCAUAAAAAAUGUGAAGCAAAAGUAUACCUUGUGAUUUCAUUAUAGAAGCCGAACCAUAUCCAUUAAUCAAGAAGUUAACCUUGCAAG
rnacentral:lncRNA from 1 species